GGGUUGUGAGGUUAAGCGACUAAGCGUACACGGUGGAUGCCCUGGCAGUCAGAGGCGAUGAAGGGCGUGCUAAUCUGCGAUAAGCGCCGGUAAGGUGAUAUGAACCGUUAUAACCGGCGAUACCCGAAUGGGGAAACCCAGUGUGACUCGUCACACUAUCAUUAACUGAAUCCAUAGGUUAAUGAGGCGAACCGGGGGAACUGAAACAUCUAAGUACCCCGAGGAAAAGAAAUCAACCGAGAUUCCCCCAGUAGCGGCGAGCGAACGGGGAGGAGCCCAGAGCCUGAAUCAGCAUGUGUGUUAGUGGAAGCGUCUGGAAAGGCGCGCGAUACAGGGUGACAGCCCCGUACACAAAAGCGCAUGUGCUGUGAGCUCGAUGAGUAGGGCGGGACACGUGGUAUCCUGUCUGAAUAUGGGGGGACCAUCCUCCAAGGCUAAAUACUCCUGACUGACCGAUAGUGAACCAGUACCGUGAGGGAAAGGCGAAAAGAACCCCGGCGAGGGGAGUGAAAAAGAACCUGAAACCGUGUACGUACAAGCAGUGGGAGCCCCACCACUAAGCCAGUGGUGAACUCCACAUACGCAUCCUUUGCUGAAGGCAAUGGUUAACGGAGCGAAAGCGACGUUCAACCGCAAAACAAGCAGAGGGGGCUUAGUGGUGGGGUGACUGCGUACCUUUUGUAUAAUGGGUCAGCGACUUAUAUUCUGUAGCAAGGUUAACCGUAUAGGGGAGCCGGAGGGAAACCGAGUCUUAAUUGGGCGUUAAGUUGCAGGGUAUAGACCCGAAACCCGGUGAUCUAGCCAUGGGCAGGUUGAAGGUUGGGUAACACUAACUGGAGGACCGAACCGACUAAUGUUGAAAAAUUAGCGGAUGACCUGUGGCUGGGGGUGAAAGGCCAAUCAAACCGGGAGAUAGCUGGUUCUCCCCGAAAGCUAUUUAGGUAGCGCCUCGUGAAUUCAUCUCCGGGGGUAGAGCACUGUUUCGGCUAGGGGGCCAUCCCGGCUUACCAACCCGAUGCAAACUGCGAAUACCGGAGAAUGUUAUCACGGGAGACACACGGCGGGUGCUAACGUCCGUCGUGAAGAGGGAAACAACCCAGACCGCCAGCUAAGGUCCCAAAGUCAUGGUUAAGUGGGAAACGAUGUGGGAAGGCCCAGACAGCCAGGAUGUUGGCUUAGAAGCAGCCAUCAUUUAAAGAAAGCGUAAUAGCUCACUGGUCGAGUCGGCCUGCGCGGAAGAUGUAACGGGGCUAAACCAUGCACCGAAGCUGCGGCAGCGA
rnacentral:rRNA from 1 species